AGUGAACGCUGGCGGUAUGCCUAACACAUGCAAGUCGAACGGCAGCACAGUAAGAUCUUGCUGUUACGGGGGGCGAGUGGCGGACGGGUGAGGAAGAGAGCGGGGGCUACUUUGUCGUGGGGGGUAACGAAUGGAAACUUACGCUAAUACGUCAUACGACCGACGGAUGAAAGAAGGGGCUCUUCGGACCGUGCGCGAUUGAAUGGGCCGGUGUCGGGGUAGCGAGUUGGCGGGGUAAAGGCCCACCAAGGGGACGAUCGGUAGCUGGUCUGAGAGGAUGAUUCGCGAGCCUGGCACUGAGAGACGGCCCCCACUCCGAGGGGGGGACGCAGCGGGGACUCUUGGACAAUGGGGGAAAGCCUGAUACUGCCAUACCGCGUGGGUGCAGAAGGCCUUCGGGUUGUAAAGCCAUUUUGUUGGGAAAGAAAAGAAGCCGGUUCAUCCCCCGCUGUUCUGACGGUACCCAAAGAAUAAGCCCCGGCUAACUUCGUG
rnacentral:rRNA from 1 species